AUGCUUGAUCUUAUUAAAGCUAUACUAACCAAUAGUAUUGUCGUAGUUUGUAGCAAUGGUAUAUCAAGUAGCCGGGUCUACUCUAAAUUACAAAACAUUUGCAGUGAAGUGUGUACUAUUAUUAUUGUUCAUUCGACAAUGAUUGACACCAAAAAGUUAUGUGUGAAAGGGAGUGCUGUUUGUGUUAAGCAGUGGGUUUUCAUGAUCGCGCUCAAAAGGCUCUCGAUACAAUUGAUCUCCUUUACAGAUACAUCUUCUCUGAUUCUUUGCCAAUGGCAUGUCUUCUUACGUUUUCUGUAUACUUCAGAUUCAGAGCAUGUGCCAAUUUCCUCAUAUAUAUUUCUUCUAGCAUGUUCAGUGUUCAUGGGUUGGUGGUGGUGUGGUCCAUUUUGA
rnacentral:rRNA from 1 species